ACAGCGCUGGCGACCACCGGAGCAAAACUCAGGUGCGGCGGCGACCUCUCUCCAUCGCGCCGUGCCCCUCCCUCCCCCCCCCCCCCCUCUCAAUCCGCUGCGUUUGCUGGACAUUUUUCUCGCGCCGAGUGAGGUCGGACAGCCGGCGGCGGCAACCUCACGCGUCGAUCUGUUUUCAUCGGGUGCGCGUCGAUCCUUUUUCAUCGGGGUGCGGCGGCGGCGGCGGCUCCUCCAUCGCGGACACCGCGCAGAUCGAUCGGUCGGUAGCCGCCCUCGAGCUGAGCAGCUUCACGAGACGAACCUGAAGAUCUGCUCCUGGCGUUGCAGCUUGCGGGCGACCUCGGAAGAGACGAAGGCGUCGAGGCAGGCAUAGGUGAUCUGCUCGUCGUUGAGGCUACGCGCGUCCCAGCGGCUCGUGGUCACCCCUUGGGGCUUCGCGAAGUCGACGCCCAGGACAUACAAGUAGAGGUCAUAAGCAAACUACAAGAACGAAUGCACCAGCCUGGACUGUGGCGAGCUUAACACAUUUUAUUUUUGUCGUUAGCCUUAUUCAGUCUGAUAAGACUAAUAUGUGGCAUGUACAGGGAUAUUUACAAAAUAUUCUACAAUACUGAUCUGGUUGAAUUGUUUAACACUACAAUACGAACUGCCAGCUUCCAUUAUCAGCGACAGUUCGCCUGAAUAGCUCCUCAUGCAGCUUAGAACUGAUGAGGAUUAUUGAUGCCGUCGCCGCUCGGUGGCUGGUAGCCGAGGUUGAGCUCGGUGGUGAGUUUCUGGCGGUGUGCCUCCAACAUCUGCAUGCCUCCUGGAAAGAAGCACCUCAUGUCCAGCCCCGCGAAGGGCCGGUGGGGAAGAAGCACUUGGUGUCCAUCUCCAAGAAUGGGUUCAGCUCCGCACUUGCGCGGCCAUGGCAGCAGACCGGGCCACGGUCACCUGCUGCAGCUGCUGAUCUCCCUCCUCAAUCUGAUCAGACAGAGAUGAUGGACAGAGUGAUCGGCACAAGUGAAAAGCAUGAUUUCAAGAUUAAUAUUGUAUAAAGAUUUUUUAUUUACUUUUCAAGGCUAGGUAGCUAUAUUAUAUAUGCAACAAAAGCUUGUUUCUGAUUUCUAACAGGUAAGCAUACCUUAGUCCUGAGGUUCA